UACGAAGGGGGCUAGCGUUGCUCGGAAUCACUGGGCGUAAAGCGCGCGCAGGCGGCUAUCCAAGUCAGUGGUGAAAGCCCGGAGCUCAACUCCGGAACUGCCAUUGAAACUGUUUAGCUUGAGGACGAGAGAGGUGAGUGGAAUUCCCAGUGUAGAGGUGAAAUUCGUAGAUAUUGGGAAGAACACCGGUGGCGAAGGCGGCUCACUGGCUCGUAUCUGACGCUCAGGCGCGACAGCGUGGGGGAUCAAACGAGA
rnacentral:rRNA from 1 species